rnacentral:rRNA from 1 species
GUUUNGAAUCGUUCACAAUGGGGGCAACCCUGAUGGCGCGACGCCGCGUGGGGGAUGAAGGUCUUCGGAUUGUAAACUCCUGUCAUUGGGGACUAAUGGCCAGGCUCAUACCCUGGUUUGAAUUAACCCAAAGAGGAAGCAGUGGCUAACUCUGUGCCAGCAGCCGCGGUAAUACAGAGACUGCAAGCGUUACUCGGAUUCACUGGGCGUAAAGGGAGCGCAGGCGGACUGGUGUGUCAGGCGUGAAAUCUCGGGGCUCAACCCCGAGGCUGCGCCCGAAACUACUAGUUCUAGAGACUUGGAGGGGUAAGCGGAAUUCUUGGUGGAGCAGUGAAAUGCGUAGAUAUCAAGAGGAACACCAACGGCGAAGGCAGCUUACUGGACAAGAUCUGACGCUCAGGCUCGAAAGCGUGGGGAGCAAAAGGNAUUAG